AUUGAACGCUGGCGGCAUGCUUUACACAUGCAAGUCGAGCGGUAACAGGCCUUCGGGUGCUGACGAGUGGCGAACGGGUGAGUAAUGCAUCGGAACGUACCCAGAGGUGGGGGAUAACGCAGCGAAAGCUGUGCUAAUACCGCAUGUGAUCUGAGGAUGAAAGCGGGGGACCGAGCAGCAAUGUUUGGCCUCGCGCCUUUGGAGCGGCCGAUGCCGGAUUAGCUAGUUGGUGGGGUAAAGGCCUACCAAGGCGACGAUCCGUAGCUGGUCUGAGAGGACGACCAGCCACACUGGGACUGAGACACGGCCCAGACUCCUACGGGAGGCAGCAGUGGGGAAUUUUGGACAAUGGGCGCAAGCCUGAUCCAGCAAUGCCGCGUGCGGGAAGAAGGCCUUCGGGUUGUAAACCGCUUUUGGCAGGAACGAAACGGUGUCCGCUAAUACCGGGCGCUAAUGACGGUACCUGCAGAAUAAGCACCGGCUAACUACGUG
rnacentral:rRNA from 1 species